GCCUUGGUAGUUUAAUGGCAAGAACGAAUCUCUAACACAGAUUUGGUAUCGGUUCGAUUCCGUUCCGAGUCA